rnacentral:rRNA from 1 species
GAUGAACGCUGGCGGCGUGCCUAAUACAUGCAAGUAGAACGCUGAAGGCGGAGCUUGCUCUUCUGGAUGAGUUGCGAACGGGUGAGUAACGCGUAGGUAACCUGCCUGGUAGCGGGGGAUAACUAUUGGAAACGAUAGCUAAUACCGCAUGACAACAGUUAUUGCAUGAUAACUGUUUAAAAGUGGCAACUGCUCCACUACCAGAUGGACCUGCGUUGUAUUAGCUAGUUGGUGAGGUAACGGCUCACCAAGGCGACGAUACAUAGCCGACCGGAGAGGGGGAGCGGCCACACUGGGACUGAGACACGGCCCAGACUGCUACGGGAGGCAGCAGUAGGGAAUCGUCGGCAAGGGGCGGAAGUCUGACCGGGCAACGCCGAGGGAGGGAAGAAGGUUUUCGGAUCGUAAAGCUCUGUUGUAAGAGAAGAACGAGUGUGAGAGUGGAAAGUUCACACUGUGACGGUAUCUUACCAGAAAGGGACGGCUAACUACGUG